rnacentral:rRNA from 1 species
CACGUAGGGUGCGAGCGUUGUCCGGAAUUAUUGGGCGUAAAGAGCUCGUAGGCGGUGUGUCGCGUCGGCCGUGAAAACCUGCAGCUUAACUGUGGGCUUGCGGUCGAUACGGGCAUCACUGGAGUUCGGCAGGGGAGACUGGAAUUCCUGGUGUAGCGGUGAAAUGCGUAGAUAUCUGGAGGAACACCGGUGGCGAAGGCGGCAUCCUGGACCAACAUUGACGCUGAGGAGCGAAAGCUAGGGGAGCAAACGGG